rnacentral:sRNA from 1 species
AGCUGUACCGGAUCGACAGAGCGGGUGACCACCAGAUAGUCGCGCAGCGCGAUGCUGUGCCGGGUCUC